rnacentral:rRNA from 1 species
GAUGAACGCUAGCGACAGGCCCAACACAUGCAAGUCGAGGGGCAGCAUGAAAUUAGCUUGCUAAUUUUGAUGGCGACCGGCGCACGGGUGAGUAACACGUAUGCAACCUGCCUGUAAGCGGGGGAUAACCCGGAGAAAUUCGGACUAAUACCGCAUAAUAUCAUCGAAUCGCAUGUUUUGAUGAUUAAAAAUUUAUUGCUUAAAGAUGGGCAUGCGUAUGAUUAGCUAGUUGGCGGGGUAACGGCCCACCAAGGCGACGAUCAUUAGGGGUUCUGAGAGGAAGGUCCCCCGCAUUGGAACUGAGACACGGUCCAAACUCCUACGGGAGGCAGCAGUGAGGAAUAUUGGUCAAUGGACGCAAGUCUGAACCAGCCAUGUCGCGUGAAGGAUGACUGUCCUAUGGAUUGUAAACUUCUUUUAUAUGGGGAUAAAGUGUGAGACUUGUCUCAUUUUGCAUGUACCAUAUGAAUAAGCAUCGGCUAACUCCGUGCCAGCAGCCGCCGUAAAAC